rnacentral:rRNA from 1 species
ACGAGUUUGAUCAUGGCUCAGAUUGAACGCUGGCGGCAUGCUUUACACAUGCAAGUCGAACGGUAACAGGCCUUCGGGUGCUGACGAGUGGCGAACGGGUGAGUAAUGCAUCGGAACGUGCCCAAGUCGUGGGGGAUAACGUAGCGAAAGUUACGCUAAUACCGCAUAAGCCCUGAGGGGGAAAGCAGGGGAUCGCAAGACCUUGCGCGAAUGGAGCGGCCGAUGUCAGAUUAGCUAGUUGGUGGGGUAAAGGCCUACCAAGGCGACGAUCUGUAGCGGGUCUGAGAGGAUGAUCCGCCACACUGGGAUUGAGACACGGCCCAGACUCCUACGGGAGGCAGCAGUGGGGAAUUUUGGACAAUGGGCGCAAGCCUGAUUCAGCCAUGCCGCGUGCGGGACGAAGGCCUUCGGGUUGUAAACCGCUUUCAGCCGGAAAGAAAUCGCCAAGGCUAAUAUCCUUGGUGGAUGACGGUACCGGAAGAAGAAGCACCGGCUAACUACGUG